rnacentral:rRNA from 1 species
CAGUCGCCGCGGUAAUACGUAGGGUGCGAGCGUUGUCCGGAAUUAUUGGGCGUAAAGAGCUUGUAGGCGGUCUGUCGCGUCUGCUGUGAAAACCCGAGGCUCAACCUCGGGCCUGCAGUGGGUACGGGCAGACUAGAGUGCGGUAGGGGAGAACGGAACUCCUGGUGUAGCGGUGGAAUGCGCAGAUAUCAGGAAGAACACCGAUGGCGAAGGCAGUUCUCUGGGCCGUAACUGACGCUGAGAAGCGAAAGCGUGGGGAGCGAACAGGAUUAGAUACCCCCGUAGUCCCUGUCUCUUAUAC